UACGUAGGGCGCAAGCGUUGUCCGGAAUUAUUGGGCGUAAAGAGCUCGUAGGCGGCCUGUUGCGUCCGCUGUGAAAUCCCGGGGCUUAACCCCGGGCUUGCAGUGGAUACGGGCAGGCUGGAGGCAGGCAGGGGAGAACGGAAUUCCCGGUGUAGCGGUGAAAUGCGCAGAUAUCGGGAGGAACGACCGGUGGCGAAGGCGGUUCUCUGGGCCUGUACUGACGCUGAGGAGCGAAAGCGUGGGGAGCGAACAGG
rnacentral:rRNA from 1 species